UUGUUAGAUAAUAAUUAACUUCUACUGCCUUUGCGAAAGGGGUCCCACUUCUGGACUUGUGCAAAGCUGCCACGUGGGCUAACCCUUCGACAUUUGUUCAGCACUACAAGCUCGAUACGGAGUCGUUCCGACUGUUGAUUCGGCAGAGCUGUCCUCUCAUCAGUGUUACAGUAGGACACCUUAUCCUCCACCGAUUGGUUUCGGUCUCAAGGAAAUGAGGAUUAGGGCGGGAAUGCUGGAGUACCACAGUUACAGGUGCCAGUUUAAUAUACCUUUACAGUGCAGUCCAAUACAAGUCUACCCAGAAGCAAAUUCCACUGUGUUCAAUGGGACUUACGCACAGAACAAAAAAUAUUGAAGAAAUCAAGUCACAUUCCUCUGUGCGCACAGUUACGGAACAAACAGCAAAACUGGCUUCCCCCAACUUCAAACAUGAUGUAUCGCAGCUACUGCCAUGCGAAUGGUCCCCGGAACAAGGACUGUGAUUGACCAGUAGGGUUUGCAAUUCCAAUCC